UUAAGCGACUAAGCGUACACGGUGGAUGCCCUGGCAGUCAGAGGCGAUGAAGGACGUGCUAAUCUGCGAUAAGCGUCGGUAAGGUGAUAUGAACCGUUAUAACCGGCGAUUUCCGAAUGGGGAAACCCAGUGUGAUUCGACACACUAUCAUUAACUGAAUCCAUAGGUUAAUGAGGCGAACCGGGGGAACUGAAACAUCUAAGUACCCCGAGGAAAAGAAAUCAACCGAGAUUCCCCCAGUAGCGGCGAGCGAACGGGGAGCAGCCCAGAGCCUGAAUCAGUGUGUGUGUUAGUGGAAGCGUCUGGAAAGGCGCGCGAUACAGGGUGACAGCCCCGUACACAAAAAUGCACAUAUUGUGAGCUCGAUGAGUAGGGCGGGACACGUGGUAUCCUGUCUGAAUAUGGGGGGACCAUCCUCCAAGGCUAAAUACUCCUGACUGACCGAUAGUGAACCAGUACCGUGAGGGAAAGGCGAAAAGAACCCCGGCGAGGGGAGUGAAAAAGAACCUGAAACCGUGUACGUACAAGCAGUGGGAGCACGCUUAGGCGUGUGACUGCGUACCUUUUGUAUAAUGGGUCAGCGACUUAUAUUCUGUAGCAAGGUUAACCGAAUAGGGGAGCCGAAGGGAAACCGAGUCUUAACUGGGCGUUAAGUUGCAGGGUAUAGACCCGAAACCCGGUGAUCUAGCCAUGGGCAGGUUGAAGGUUGGGUAACACUAACUGGAGGACCGAACCGACUAAUGUUGAAAAAUUAGCGGAUGACUUGUGGCUGGGGGUGAAAGGCCAAUCAAACCGGGAGAUAGCUGGUUCUCCCCGAAAGCUAUUUAGGUAGCGCCUCGUGAAUUCAUCUCCGGGGGUAGAGCACUGUUUCGGCAAGGGGGUCAUCCCGACUUACCAACCCGAUGCAAACUGCGAAUACCGGAGAAUGUUAUCACGGGAGACACACGGCGGGUGCUAACGUCCGUCGUGAAGAGGGAAACAACCCAGACCGCCAGCUAAGGUCCCAAAGUCAUGGUUAAGUGGGAAACGAUGUGGGAAGGCCCAGACAGCCAGGAUGUUGGCUUAGAAGCAGCCAUCAUUUAAAGAAAGCGUAAUAGCUCACUGGUCGAGUCGGCCUGCGCGGAAGAUGUAACGGGGCUAAACCAUGCACCGAAGCUGCGGCAGCGACGCUUAUGCGUUGUUGGGUAGGGGAGCGUUCUGUAAGCCUGUGAAGGUGUGCUGUGAGGCAUGCUGGAGGUAUCAGAAGUGCGAAUGCUGACAUAAGUAACGAUAAAGCGGGUGAAAAGCCCGCUCGCCGGAAGACCAAGGGUUCCUGUCCAACGUUAAUCGGGGCAGGGUGAGUCGACCCCUAAGGCGAGGCCGAAAGGCGUAGUCGAUGGGAAACAGGUUAAUAUUCCUGUACUUGGUGUUACUGCGAAGGGGGGACGGAGAAGGCUAUGUUGGCCGGGCGACGGUUGUCCCGGUUUAAGCGUGUAGGCUGGUUUUCCAGGCAAAUCCGGAAAAUCAAGGCUGAGGCGUGAUGACGAGGCACUACGGUGCUGAAGCAACAAAUGCCCUGCUUCCAGGAAAAGCCUCUAAGCAUCAGGUAACAUCAAAUCGUACCCCAAACCGACACAGGUGGUCAGGUAGAGAAUACCAAGGCGCUUGAGAGAACUCGGGUGAAGGAACUAGGCAAAAUGGUGCCGUAACUUCGGGAGAAGGCACGCUGAUAUGUAGGUGAAGUCCCUCGCUGGUGGAGCUGAAAUCAGUCGAAGAUACCAGCUGGCUGCAACUGUUUAUUAAAAACACAGCACUGUGCAAACACGAAAGUGGACGUAUACGGUGUGACGCCUGCCCGGUGCCGGAAGGUUAAUUGAUGGGGUUAGCGCAAGCGAAGCUCUUGAUCGAAGCCCCGGUAAACGGCGGCCGUAACUAUAACGGUCCUAAGGUAGCGAAAUUCCUUGUCGGGUAAGUUCCGACCUGCACGAAUGGCGUAAUGAUGGCCAGGCUGUCUCCACCCGAGACUCAGUGAAAUUGAACUCGCUGUGAAGAUGCAGUGUACCCGCGGCAAGACGGAAAGACCCCGUGAACCUUUACUAUAGCUUGACACUGAACAUUGAGCCUUGAUGUGUAGGAUAGGUGGGAGGCUUUGAAGUGUGGACGCCAGUCUGCAUGGAGCCGACCUUGAAAUACCACCCUUUAAUGUUUGAUGUUCUAACGUUGACCCGUGAUCCGGGUUGCGGACAGUGUCUGGUGGGUAGUUUGACUGGGGCGGUCUCCUCCUAAAGAGUAACGGAGGAGCACGAAGGUUGGCUAAUCCUGGUCGGACAUCAGGAGGUUAGUGCAAUGGCAUAAGCCAGCUUGACUGCGAGCGUGACGGCGCGAGCAGGUGCGAAAGCAGGUCAUAGUGAUCCGGUGGUUCUGAAUGGAAGGGCCAUCGCUCAACGGAUAAAAGGUACUCCGGGGAUAACAGGCUGAUACCGCCCAAGAGUUCAUAUCGACGGCGGUGUUUGGCACCUCGAUGUCGGCUCAUCACAUCCUGGGGCUGAAGUAGGUCCCAAGGGUAUGGCUGUUCGCCAUUUAAAGUGGUACGCGAGCUGGGUUUAGAACGUCGUGAGACAGUUCGGUCCCUAUCUGCCGUGGGCGCUGGAGAACUGAGGGGGGCUGCUCCUAGUACGAGAGGACCGGAGUGGACGCAUCACUGGUGUUCGGGUUGUCAUGCCAAUGGCACUGCCCGGUAGCUAAAUGCGGAAGAGAUAAGUGCUGAAAGCAUCUAAGCACGAAACUUGCCCCGAGAUGAGUUCUCCCUGACUCCUUGAGAGUCCUGAAGGAACGUUGAAGACGACGACGUUGAUAGGCCGGGUGUGUAAGCGCAGCGAUGCGUUGAGCUAACCGGUACUAAUGAACCGUGAGGCUUAACCUU
rnacentral:rRNA from 1 species